CAAGCCCCGCGCGCGCCGAGCGACCCGCAGUGCCCGAGCCCGGCGCACGCACGACCCGCCCCCCGACUCGCGUUAUUGCUGUGCACACGCGGGCCGCCGUGACGCGCGGGCAUUGUGUGCAGCGAGCAGAAAACAACGGCGAGCGCCGCCAGCGCCGAGGAGCGCCCCCAGGAAAGAGGCAGAUGCUGGGCCGCCCUUUUCCGUACUGGGAGACCCAGACGGGGCGGGAACGGGGGUGUAGGGGGGGGUGGGGGAGGCCAGGAGUGGCGAGCAGAGAGUGGCCCCUGGUGGGCCGCCGCUCGCGCAUCUUUGCAAGGGGAAGCAGGCGGCAAAUAGAGGAGCUGGUGAACGGGGGCUUGUGGGGGGGGGCCCUAGUUUACUGGAGGUCACCCUCGGCGGCGGGAGGGGAGGGGCUAGGGCCUGGAGCUGGGCACGGCGCAGCGCCCCACGCUCUCGGGGAAAUCUGGGGGCCGUUGGCAUCACGUCAUGCAGAGCCCAACAGCCGCGGCGAAAAGAGGCAAGAGAGCUAAAAAUACUUCCGUGGGGAGCCGGCCGGAGGAGGGGCAGCACUGCCGAGGGGCUGAUUACGCGGAACGAAGUUGACUUUGGGGCGCGGAGCUUCCCGAGCCCCUGGCGGCGGGGGUGGGGGGGGGGUCUUGCGCGCCGGAUGCGCCCACAGCUCGGGAGAGGGGCCGGGAGGGAGCCCCUGGGCUGGCUCUGCCCGGGAAGCCUGCUCGGCUGUCGCUGGCCCGCCCCGUGCGGGGCAGCCCGGCCCUCUGCUUACGUGACUGGUGGCCACGCCGGAGCCCCGGCACGGGCUUUGGCUUUUCAGAAACCGCCCCUCCCGGCGAAUGCACACUCCCUCCCCCGAGAAUAAUCGCAAACUGAUUCGGGCUACACGGCCGGCCGCGGAUGCGCCUUUUCUGGAAACCCAGCACUCGGAGAAAACAGGAGAGAAGAGAAAGAAAAAAAGGCACCCGACCGCCCAGCACAAAUCCUUGUUUUUGCCUGAGGACCGGUGGGUGCACAAUUGUGCGGCCAACCCGUGGAUACUUUAAACCCGGAGGCCUGGGGACUCGGUCAACGAAGGUGUUUUUGUCUUUGAGGGUUGUUGUUGUGUUGGGGUUUGGGGGGGGGGCGGAUUGCAAGAUCUGACACGUUGCAAUCGGGGCUUUAUUUUUUUUAACCCCCCCACCACACACACACACACACACACACAAACACACACACCAUUGAUCUUCCUACUUGCUCGGACAGAUUAAACAGCUCGAUUUUC